rnacentral:rRNA from 1 species
UGGGGAAUAUUGCACAAUGGGCGCAAGCCUGAUGCAGCCAUGCCGCGUGUGUGAAGAAGGCCUUCGGGUUGUAAAGCACUUUCAGCGAGGAGGAAGGUGGUGAACUUAAUACGUUCAUCAAUUGACGUUACUCGCAGAAGAAGCACCGGCUAACUCCGUGCCAGCAGCCGCGGUAAUACGGAGGGUGCAAGCGUUAAUCGGAAUUACUGGGCGUAAAGCGCACGCAGGCGGUUUGUUAAGUCAGAUGUGAAAUCCCCGGGCUCAACCUGGGAACUGCAUUGAAACUGGCAAGCUAGAGUCUCGUAGAGGGGGUAGAAUUCCAGGUGUAGCGGUGAAAUGCGUAGAGAUCUGGAGGAAUACCGGUGGCGAAGGCGGCCCCCUGGACG